rnacentral:tRNA from 1 species
GCCUUGCUAGCUCAAUCGGUAGAGCGUGAGACUCUUAAUCUCAAGGUUGCGGGUUCGACCCCGCGUGAGGCUCA